AAAGAGCCGUGAUAUCCAUGCCCAACCGGAUAUCUCGGCGUAGAUCUCGGCCUGUAUCGACAACAGAUGAAUGAUUAGCGAAAAUGGACAUUUUUAUCUUUCUUAGAAUUGUACUUAGGGUAAAACUCCCCUACUAUAUAAAGGGGAGGUUUAUUAUUCAAUAAACACUCUGUAACAUGCAUACCAAGGCAAUAUACAUCUGUUUUCUCUGCUUCAAAAAGUUAUUCAAAGUUUUUAAUUUUGCUCAUAGUUCUUCAUAAGUGUUUGAUUCCGAACCGAAGGCAGGCUACUUGUUAAGCUUAUAACCGAGCUCGAACUCAAUAUUACUACAGGUUUGGCUGUUUAUUCUAUCUUUAAUUUAUUUAUCUAACAUCAUUAAUCAGACCGACUAUGUGUGAUAAGAAUGUGCCGUUCAUACUUAAGGGUGAGUUCUACAAGGUAGUGGUUAGACCGGUUAUGUUGUAUGAGGCAGAAUGUUGGCCAUUAAAAAAACUCCCAUAUCCAGCAGAUAAAAGUAGCGGAAAUGAGGAUAUUGAGAUGGAUGUGUGGGUAUACUAGGUUGGAUAAAAUUAGGAAUGAAGUUAUUCGGGACAAGGUGGGAGUGGCCCCUGUGGAGGCAAAGAUACGUGAGGCGAGGUUGAGAUGGUUCAGGCAUGUUAAGAAGAGAAGCACAUAUGCCCCAGUUAGGAGAUAUGAGAGGUUGAUCUUGGGAGGUGAGAGGAGGGGUAGAGAUAGACCAAAGAAGUCUUCGGGAGAGGUGAUCAGGAAGGACAUGGCACAACUUGAGCUAACCGAGGAUAUGACCCUAGAUAGAAGGGUGUGGAAGUUGAAGAUUAGGGUAGAAGGUUAGUAGGUAGUCAUGCGUUUCCCUUUGUCUUCUCUAGUUCGAUAAUAUUAGUGUUAGUACGGUACCGUUUUUUCCUUAGUUUGCUAUAUUCGCAUGUCUUGUUCUGUUAUUACUUGCCAUCGGUAAUUCCGUAGUUUGCUAGCAGUACUUCGUUCAUAUUCUUGUUUCUGCCUUGGAUUUGAUUUUCUAAAUAUAUUGUCUUGGUAUUACUUGUGUGAUGACCCAAAAGGUCAUCAUUGGUUUUAGAAAUAAAUUCUGUGUUCCAAGGCCUUAAAAACCUCUUUCAGUAUUACCUCGAUUUACAUGCGCAGUCUGGGUGCGUAGCCGAAAAGCCAUUAUAUGAAAAUUUGUGAAAAAAUGAUAAAAUUUGCCUUUAUAAUGAAUUUAAGUUGACUACGGUCAACAUUUUAGGUAAACAGACCUGGACCCGUGACUUGACGGUACCGGAGGUUCCGUAGAAAAAUAUGGAACUUGGGCGUAUGCCCAGAAUCGAAUUCCGAGGUCCCAAGCCUGAGAAAUGAAUUUUUAAAGAAAAUUAUUUCUGGAAUAUAUAUGAGUUUUUGGAAAUGGAAUAUGUUUGGAAUUUGAUGGUAUCGGGCCUGUAUUUUGGUUUCGGAACCCGGUAUAGGUCGUAUAUGUGAUUUAAGCCGAACCUGUAAAAUUUAGUAGGAAACGGAGGUCAAAUGACGUGAAUCAGACCCUCGUUUGUGAAAUUUGGAACUUAAGUGUUCUUGAGAUUUUUCUUCGAUUUUGAUGUUAAAUUCUUCGUUAAAGAUGUUAUUUUGGAAAUUUGAUCGCACGUUUAAGUUCAUAUGAUGUUUUUGAGUUAGUAUUCAUGUUUGGUUUGGAGCCCCGAGGGCUCGGGUGAGUUUCGGAUAGGUUUCGGAAGGUUUUAAACUUAGAAAAAGUUGCAGGUUUUCAGCUUCUGGUGCACAAGGAUUUUGUGCUUCGCGUUCGCGUGGCUUCACUCACGAACGCAGAAGGCAAUAUCCCUUAGGUGAAAAUUGUUCUUCGCGAACGCAGAGCUUGGGACGCGAACGCGAGGCUGUGGGGGGAAUACCCUACGCGUCCAGGCCCUCGCGAACACGUAGGGUUAGUGGCCUGGGGGAGGGAUUUCAAAGUUACCUUACGCGAACGCAGCCACCUGACAGCGAACGCGAUGACUCUGGGAGCUGAAGCUUCGCGAACGCGAGCUUCUGAUUGUGAACGCGAUGGUCAGCUGGGCCUGACCCAUCACAAAUGUGAUAGGCCCAUCGCGAACCCGAUGAAGGCCUGCCCAGUGAUUUUAAAACAGAAGCAAAAACGGGCAGAACCCAUUUACUUCAUAUUUUCAAAAUUUGGGUGCAUUGAAGCUAUUUUCAAAGAACAAUUUCUUCCCCAAAACAUUGGUAUAUGAUUCUAAACCUUUUUCUUUCAAUUUUCCAUUGCAUUUCAUCAAUUUUCAUCCUAAAAUCUAGGGUUUUCAUGGCGGAAAUUAGGGAAUUGGGUAGAGUUAGGGCUUUUUGAUUAAUUGGGAUUUAGACCUCGUUUUGGGGUCGGAUUCCGAAAAUAAUUGCAUAUUUGGGCUUGUGGGUGAGUGGGUGAUCGGGUUUUGGUCCGAACCUCGAGUUUUGACCCAGCGGGCCCGGGGUCAAUUUUUGACUUUUUGGGAAAAAUGAUAGAAAACCUAUAAUUAAGCAUUGAGUACGAAUUCUUUAGCAUUUAUUGAUGUUAUUAAAUCAAUUUAGACUAGAUACGCGUUAUUUGGAGGCGAAUUCUAAAGGAAAAACGGUGUUUGAGGCUUGAGUUGGCCGUGGAAGUUUGAGGUAAGUGUUUGGCCUAACCUUAGCUUGAGGGAUUAUGAGUCGUGUCCUAUUUGCUAUGUGUUAUUUGUUGAGUACGACGUAUAGGCAUGGUGACGAGUAUCUAUACGUUGGUGUCAACCAUGCCCGUGAGUCUUAAAUUGAAAUUGUGGUUCUUAAUAAGUACUACGAAUACCUAAGUUGAUUCUCUGUGUUGGGCAAGAAUUAUGAUUAUUCUCGUGGAAAUUGCUUAUGGUUGAGUGUUGGUGCUAGUUGAGGUUUCUUUUGUGAAGUUUAAAUGUUGGAAUAAGUUUGGUUAUAACUGAUUCCCUUGCCGGGACGUAUUUACUUAUACUGUCGAUUCCCUUGUCAGGAUAGUGUUGUUUCCUUAUUGUUCCAUUGCUGGGACUCUUUUAUGAUUGGAGUUGAAUUGUAUAUUGGGAUCGGGUUGCACGCCGCAAUAAUAUUAUAUUUGGAUCGGGUUGCAUGCUGCAACAACAUUAUAAUUGGAUCGGGUUGCACGCCGCAAUAGUGAUAAAUGAUAUGGAUCGGGUUGCAUGCCACAACAAUAUUUUUAUGAUUUGGAUCGGGUUGCGCGCCGCAACAAUAAAUGAUAAAAGUGGUUAUUGAUUGGUUACAGUUUUCCUUAUUCUUUCUGCUGCGAAUUUUAAAUUGUUCUUUAUGCCUUUCUCCUGAGUUAUUGUUGGUAAAUGAUAUUUCCCCACAACAUGUCCCCCUCCCAUCCUUAAUUGUACAUUUCUGUCUUUAUUUUCUGCUGUAUAUGAUAUAACUGCACAGGUUUAUUUGGUAGUCUAGUCCUAGCCUCGUCACUACUUCGCCGGGGUUAGGCUAGGCACUUACCAGUUUAGUUGUGCUGAUACUACACUCUGUACUGUGUGUAGAUCCCGGAGUAGCAACUUUUGGACCUUAGCUUGGGUGGCUGCCUUCAGUCCAUACGGUGAUCCAAGGCCGUCUUGCAGGCGUCCGCAGGCCCUAGCGUCUCCCUCUAUCUUUUCUUCCUGUUUCACUUAUGUAAUUUAAAAACAAUGAUUUAUUUAUUUUUUAGACCUUGUUUGUAGAAUUCUUAGACCGUUUGUGGAGUUGUGACACCAGUCUUGGGUAGUUUUUGCUUAAGAAAUCAUGUUGGAAUUAUUUAAAUGGUGUAAUUGUUUUCUUUUGCUUGUCUUAAAUUUUCGUUGUUUAUAACUGUUGAUUCACAUUCGUUAAAGAAUUAAGGUGGGAAAAAGUAAUUUGUUCAAAUGGUCGGCUUGCCUAGCUUUCACUAGUAGGUGCCAUCACGAUUCCCGAGGGUAGGAAAUCUGGGUCGUGACAAGUUGGUAUCAGAGCUCUAGGUUACAUGGGUCUUACAACUCACAGCUUAGUAGUGUCUGAGGGAUCGGUACGGAGGCGUCUGUAUUUAUCUUCAGAGGCUACAGAGUUAGGAAAACACUUCACAUUUAUUCUUUACUAUCGUGCAGUUUGGUUUCUCAAUGCUAAUUGAAUUUCUACUCUGUUCUUUCGCAGAUGUCAAGAACACGCGCUUCCUCAUCCACCGAUCAACAGCUCGAGCCCCUAGUAGUAGAUCCCACGAGGGGCAGAGGGCGAGGCCGAGGUCGUGCUAGAGGCCGAGGUAGGGGUAGAGCUCAGCCUAGAGUAGCAGCAAUAGCGGCGGAGCCUCAGGUUGACUUUGAUGAUGAGGUUCCAUCUCAGACAGUCCCGGUGGGCCCAGUUCAGGUCCUAGUGGGGUUUAUUGCUACCCCAGUACUCCAGGAUGCUCUGGUCCGUCUAGUGGGCCUUAUGAAGAGCGUCACCCGGGAAGACUUGCUUCCUGUAGCACCAGCCGUCUCUCAGGAUGGAGGAGGAGCCCAGACUUCUGCUACUCGCACUCCAGAGUAGAUGGAUCCCCAGUUUCAAACUCCAGCAGCUCAGCUAGUUGGAGCAGCUCAGCCGGGUGUGGUAUCUCAAACCGGUGAUGGAGCAGCCAUGUAUGCUAAUGCUUUGUGGAGAUUGGAUAGGUUCACCAAGCUCUUCACUACUACUUUCAACGUUGCAUCUUCGAAGGAUCCCCAGGAUUAUCUAGAUAGCUAUCAUGAGGUUCUCAGGAACAUGGGGAUAGUGGAGACCAAUGGGGACAACUUUGCUACUUUCCGCUUGUUUGGAUAUGCCAAGACUUGGUGGAGAGAUUAUUGUUUGGCUAGGCCAGCCGGAUCACCAGCUUUGACUUGGGAGCAGUUUACUUAGAUAUUUUUGGAGAAGUUUCUCCUUAUCACUCAGAGAGAGAUCUAUCGGAGGCAGUUUGAGCAUCUCCAGCAGGGUUAUAUGAUUGUUACUCAGUACAAGACCAGGUUCAUCGACUUGGCCCGUCAUGUUCUUAUCAUGCUUCCCACCAAGAGAGAGAGGGUGAGGAGGUUCAUUAAGGGACUCAUUCAGCCUAUUCGACUUCAGAUGGCUAAGGAGACGGGCAGUGAGAUUUAUUUCCAGGAGGCGGCCAAUGUGGCCAAGAGAGUUAAGAUGGUUCUAUCGCAGGGGGGUGGUCAGGGGUCUGACAAGAGGCCUCGUCAUUCAGGCAGAUUCUGUGGUGCCUCGUCUGGAGGCAGAGAUUCAUAUGGUAGAGGCCAUCAUCCUAAGCCUUUUCAGUCAGCACUUCAGGUUUCUCACGGCUCUUCAGGUGGCCGUGGUUCUCAUAUGUAGUAUUCUGAUCAGUAGCCCUACAGUGCACCACCAACUCCUAUCAAUGCACCACCACUCUAGAGUUUUCGGGGUGGUCAUUCAGGUCGCCAAGGUUAGUCUCACUUUCCCCAUCCACAACAUUCAGGUGGAUGCUUUGAGUGCGGUGAGUAUGGUCAUAUCCGGAGGGCUUGUCCAAGAUUAGAGGGUAUUCAGUUGCAGCAACAGGGUUCCCGUGCUAUGGUUCAGGCGCCAGGUGUUCCACCGCCCGCCCCGCCAGUUAGUGGUGGGGGUAUAGGCAAUAGAGGUGGAGGUAGAGGUGGAGGUCAGACAACUAGAGGUGGAGGUCAGCCAGCAGCAGGCCAUCCCAGAGAUGUAGUUCAGGGUUGUGGGGCCCAACCCCGAUGUUAUGCUCUUCCAGCCAGGCCUGAGGCUGAGGCUUUCGAUGCAAUUAUCAUAAGUACUGUUCUGGUUUGUAGCAGAGAUGUUUCAGUUUUAUUUGAUCUAGGAUCUACAUACUCCUAUGUGUCAUCUUAUUUUGCACCGUAUCUGGUCAUGCCUAGUGAUUCUUUGAGUGCUCCUAUAUAUGUGUCUACAUCGGUGGGUGAUUCUAUUAUGGUAGAUCGAGUCCAUCGUUCGUGUAUAGUUGUGAUUGGAGGUCUUGAGACUCGUGUAGAUUUGUUACUUCUAGACAUGAUUGAUUUUGAUAUCAUAUUGGGGAUGGAAUGUUAUCACUUUACCAUGCUAUCUUGGACUGUCAUGCCAAGACUGUGACCUUAUCCUUGCCAGGUUUACCUCGUUUAGAGUGGAGAGGGACUCCUAGUCAUUCUACACAUAGUGUUAUCUCAUAUAUGAAGACNNNNNNNNNNNNNNNNNNNNNNNNNNNNNNNNNNNNNNNNNNNNNNNNNNNNNNNNNNNNNNNNNNNNNNNNNNNNNNNNNNNNNNNNNNNNNNNNNNNNNNNNNNNNNNNNNNNNNNNNNNNNNNNNNNNNNNNNNNNNNNNNNNNNNNNNNNNNNNNNNNNNNNNNNNNNNNNNNNNNNNNNNNNNNNNNNNNNNNNNNNNNNNNNNNNNNNNNNNNNNNNNNNNNNNNNNNNNNNNNNNNNNNNNNNNNNNNNNNNNNNNNNNNNNNNNNNNNNNNNNNNNNNNNNNNNNNNNNNNNNNNNNNNNNNNNNNNNNNNNNNNNNNNNNNNNNNNNNNNNNNNNNNNNNNNNNNNNNNNNNNNNNNNNNNNNNNNNNNNNNNNNNNNNNNNNNNNNNNNNNNNNNNNNNNNNNNNNNNNNNNNNNNNNNNNNNNNNNNNNNNNNNNNNNNNNNNNNNNNNNNNNNNNNNNNNNNNNNNNNNNNNNNNNNNNNNNNNNNNNNNNNNNNNNNNNNNNNNNNNNNNNNNNNNNNNNNNNNNNNNNNNNNNNNNNNNNNNNNNNNNNNNNNNNNNNNNNNNNNNNNNNNNNNNNNNNNNNNNNNNNNNNNNNNNNNNNNNNNNNNNNNNNNNNNNNNNNNNNNNNNNNNNNNNNNNNNNNNNNNNNNNNNNNNNNNNNNNNNNNNNNNNNNNNNNNNNNNNNNNNNNNNNNNNNNNNNNNNNNNNNNNNNNNNNNNNNNNNNNNNNNNNNNNNNNNNNNNNNNNNNNNNNNNNNNNNNNNNNNNNNNNNNNNNNNNNNNNNNNNNNNNNNNNNNNNNNNNNNNNNNNNNNNNNNNNNNNNNNNNNNNNNNNNNNNNGAGGUAUUUCCUUCAGACCUGCCGGGUAUGCCAUCCGACAGGGAUAUUGACUUCUGCAUUGAUUUGGCUCCGGGCACUCAUCCCAUUUCUAUUCCGACGUAUCGUAUGGCCCCGCCCGAGUUGAAAGAGUUGAAGGAGCAGUUGCAAGACUUGCUUGAAAAAGGUUUUAUUAGACCUAGUGUUUCGCCUUGGGGUUCGCUAGUGUUGUUUGUUAAGAAGAAGGAUGGAUCGAUGGGAAUGUGUAUAGAUUACCGGCAGUUGAACAAGGUUACAAUUAAGAAUAAGUAUCCAUUACCGAGGAUUGAUGAUUUGUUUGAUCAGCUUCAGGGUGCCAAGGUAUUUCCGAAGAUUGACUUGAGAUCUGGCUACCAUCAGUUGAGGAUUAGGGCAUUCGAUGUCCCUAAGAUAGCUUUCCGCACUUGGUACGAGCAUUACAGGUUCUUGGUAAUGUCAUCCGGGUUGACUAAUGCCCCAACAACUUUUAUGGAUUUGAUGAACCAAGUGUUCAGGCCUUACUUGGAUUCAUUCGUGAUAGUCGUCAUUGAUAAUAUUUUGAUCUAUUUCCAUAGCCGGGAGGAGCAUGAGCAACAUCUGAGAGUGGUUCUUCAGACUUUGAGGGAUAGUCAGUUGUAUGCUAAGUUUUCGAAGUGUAAGUUCUGGUUGAGUUCAGUUGCAUUCUUGGGUCAUUUGUAUCAAUAGAGGGUAUUCAGGUAGAUCCGAAGAAGAUAGAGGCAAUCAAGAACUAGCCUAGACUAAUAUCAGCUACAAAGAUCUGGAGUUUCUUGGGAUUGGUAGGCUAUUAUCGUCGGUUUGUGGAGGGGUUUUCAUCUAUUGCAGCCCCGAUGACCAGGUUGACCCAGAAGGGUGCCCAGUUCAGGUGGUCGGAUGAGUGUGAGGCAAGAUUUCAAAAGCUCAAGACAACUUUGACUGCAGCACCGGUGUUGGUUUUGCCUACAGGUUCAGGGUCGUACACAGUUUAUUGUGAUGCAUCUCGUAUUGGACUUGGUGCGAUGUUGAUGCAGGAUGACAAGGUCAUUGAAUAUGCUUCGCGGCAGUUAAAGAUUCAUGAGAAGAACUAUCCGGUUCAUGAUUUGAAGUUAGCAGCCAUUGUUCAUGCGUUGAAUAUCUGUAUGGCGUGGCAUGUGAGGUAUUCACAGAUCACAAGAGUCUGCAGUACUUGUUCAAGCAGAAGGAGUUAAAUUUGAGGGAGAAAAGGUGAUUGGAGCUGUUGAAAGACUAUGAUAUCACCAUCUUAUAUCAUCCGAGAAAGGUCAAUGUGGUGGCCGAUGCUUUGAGUUGGAAGUCAACCAGUAUGGGCAGUCUUGCUUAUAUUCUGGUCAGUGAGAGACCGCUUGCUUUGGAUGUUCAGGAUUUGGCCAAUCAGUUCGUGAGGUUGGAUGUUUCUGAUCCCAGCAGUGUGUUAGCUUGCACAGUCACUUGUUCUUCUUUAUUGGAGCGUAUCCGAGAUCGACAGUAUGAUGAUCCUCAUUUGUAUGUCCUUAGAGACACGGUGCAACACGGAGGUGCCAAGCAGGUCACCUUAGGAGAUGAUGGAGUUUUGAGAUUGCAAGGUCGAGUUUGUGUGCCUAAUGUAGAUGGACUCCGAGAGUUGAUUUUAGAGGAGGCCCAUAGUUCCCGGUACUCUAUUCAUCCGGGCACCGCUAAGAUGUAUCAGAAUUGGCGGCAGCAUUAUUGGUGGAAGAGAAUGAAGAAGGACAUUGUUGCAUAUGUGGCUCGGUGUUUGAACUGUCAGCAGGUUAAGUACGAGCAUCAUAGUCCUGGUGGUUUGUUCCAGAAGAUUGAGAUUCCUGAGUGGAAGUGGGAGUGUAUCACUAUGGACUUCGUUGUUGCACUCCCACAGACUUAGAGGAGUUCGAUGUAGUGUGGGUUAUUGUUGAUAGGCUGACCAAGUUAGCACAUUUCAUUCCUGUGGCAGUCUCCUAUUCUUCCAAAAGGUUAGAUGAGAUCUAUAUCCGGGAGAUUGUUUGCCUUCAUGAUGUGCUCGUGUCUAUCAUUUUGGAUCGAGGUACGUAGUUUACCUCACAUUUCUGGAGAGCAGUUCUGCGAGAGUUGGGCAUACGAGUUAAGUUGAGCACAACGUUUCAUCAUCAGAUGGACGGGCAGUCUAAGUGGACCAUUCAGAUUUGGAGGAUAUGCUCUGAGCUUGUGUCAUCGACUUUGGAGGCUCGUAAGAUCAGUUUUUGCCUUUAGUAGAGUUUGCCUACAACAACAGCUACCAGUCGAGUAUCUAGAUGGCUCCUUAUGAGGCUUUGUAUGGUAGGCGGUGUCGGUCGCCGGUUGGAUGGUUUUAUCCGGGAGAGGCUCGGUUGUUGGGUACGGAUCUAAUGUAGGAUGCCUUAGACAAGGUCAAGAUUAUUUAGGAUAGGCUCCAUACAGCUCAGUCUAGGAAAAAGAGUUACGUUGACCGUAAGGUUCGUGAUUUGGAAUUCAUGGUUGGUGAGCGGGUAUUGCUUCGGGUGUCGCCUAUGAAGGGCGUGAUGAGAUUUGGAAAGAAGGGCAAGCUUAGCCCUAGGUUCAUUGGCCCGUUUGAGAUUCUUGAUAGAGUGAGAGAGGUGGCUUAUAGACUUGCAUUGCUACCGAGCUUAUCAGCCGUGCAUCCAGUGUUUCAUGUGUCCAUACUUCGAAAGUAUCACGACAAUCCAUCUUACGUGUUAGAUUUAAGCACUGUCCAGUUGGACAAGGACUUGUCCUAUGAGGAGGAGCCGAUAGCUAUUCUAGACCGGCAAGUUCAUGAGUUGAUAUCAAAGAGUUUUCCUUCUGUUCGUGUUCAGUGGAGAGGUCAGCCUACUGAGGCAUCGACCUGGAGUCCAAGUCUGAUAUGCGGAGCCUAUCCCCAUCUUUUCCCCAACUCAGGUACUUCAUUCUUAUGUCUGUUCGAGGACGAACAAUUGUUUUAGAGGUGGAGAAUGUGAAAUAAAUUUUUUGUUCCGAGGCCUUAAAAAUCUCUUUCAAUAUCACUUCGAUUUGGUGCUCAGUUUGAGCGCGUAGCCGGAAAGCCAUUAUGUGAAAAUAUGUGAAAAAUGAUAUAAUUUACCUUUAAAAUGAAAUUAAGUUGACUUCGGUCAAUAUUUUGGGUAAACGGACUCGGACCCAUGAUUUGACAGUCCCGGAUGGUCCGUAAGAAAAUAUGGGACUUGGGCGUAUGCUUGGAAUCGAAUUCCGAGGUCCCAAGCCCGAGAAAUGAAUUUUUAAAGAAAAUUAUUUUCUGGAAUAUAUAUGAGUUUUUGGAAAUGGAUUAUGUUUGGAAUUUGAUAGUAUCGGGCCCGUAUUUUUGUUUCGUAGCCCGGUACAGGUCUUAUAUGUGAUUUAAGCCGAACCUGUUAAAUUUGGUAGGAAACGGAGGUCAAAUGACGUGAAUCGGACCCUCGGUUGUGAAAUUUGGAACUUAAGUAUUCUUGAGAUUUUUCUUCGAUUUUGAUGUUAAAUUCGUUGUUAAAGAUGUUAUUUGGCGAUUUGAUCGCACGGAUAAGUUCAUAUGCUGUUUUUGAGUUAGUAUGCAUGUUUAGUUUGGAGCCUAGAGGGCUCAGGUGAGUUUCGGAUAGGUUUCGGAAGGUUUUAAACUUAAAAAAAAGUUGCAGGUUUUCAGUUUCUUGUGCACAGGGAUUUUGUGCUUCGCGUUCGCGUGGCUUCACUCGCGAAUGCGGAAGGCAAUAUCCCUUAGGUGAAAAUUGUUCUUCGCAAAUGCGGAGCUUCGGACACGAACGCGAGGCUGUGGGGAGAAUACCCUAUGCGUCCAGGCCCUCGCGAACACGUAAGGUUAGUGGCCUCGGGGAGGGAUUUCAAACUUACCUUACACGAACACAACCACCUGACCGUGAACGGGAUAACUUUGGGAGUUGAAGCUUCGCGAACGUGAGUUUCUGUUCGCAAACGCAAUGGUCAGCUGGGUCUGACCCAUCACGAACGCGACAGGCCCAUCGCGAACGCGAUGAAGGCUUGCCCAGUGAUUUUAAAACAGAAGCAAAAACGGGCGGAACCCAUUUACUUCAUAUUUUCAAAAUUUGGGAGCAUUGAAGCGAUUUCAAAGAAAAAUUUCUUCCCCAAAAUAGUGGUAUAUGAUUCUAAACCUUUUUCUUUCAAUUUCCCAUUGCAUUUCAUCAAUUUUCAUCCUAAAAUCUAGGGUUUUCAUGGCAGAAAUUAGGGAAUUGGGUAGAGUUAGGGCUUUUUGAUUAAUUGGGAUUUAGACCUCGUUUUAGGGUCGGAUUCCGAAACAAAUUGCAUAUUCGGGCUUGUGGGUGAAUAGGUGAUGGGAUUUUGGUCCGAACCUCGAGUUGACCAAGCGGGCCCGGGGUCAAUUUUUGACUUUUUGGGAAAAUGAUAAACUACCUAUAAUUAAGCAUUGGGUACGAAUUCUUUAGCAUUUAUUAAUGUUGUUAAUCAAUUUGGACUAGAUACGAGUUAUUUGGAGGCAAAUUCUAAAGGAAAAGCGGUGUUUGAGGCUUGAGUUGGCCAUGGAAGUUUGAGGUAAGUGUUUGGCCUAACCUUAGCUUGAGGGAUUAUGAGUCAUGUCCUAUUUGCUCUGUGUUAUUUGUUGAGUACGACGUAUAGGCAUGAUGACGAGUAUCUAUACGUUGGUGUCAAGCAUGCCCGUGAGUCUUAAAUUGAAAUCGUGUGUUCUUAAUAAGUACUACGAAUGCCUAAGUUGUUGAUUCUCUGUGUUGGGCAAAAAUUAUGAUUAUUCUCGUGAAAAUUUCUUAUGGUUGAGUGUUGGUGCUAGUUGAGGUUUCUUUGUGAAGUUAAAUGUUGGAAUAAGUUUGGUUAUAGCUGAUUCCCUUGCCGGGACGUAUUUACUUAUACUGUCAAUUUCCUUGCCGGGAUAGUAUUAUUUCCUUAUUGUUCCCUUACUGGGACUCUUUUAUGAUUGGUGUUGAAUUGUAUAUUGGGAUCGGGUUGUACGCCGCAACAAUAUUAUAUUUGGAUCGGGUUGCACGUCGCAACAACAUUAUAAUUGGAUUGGGUAGCACGCCUUAAUAGUGAUAAAUGAUAUGGAUCGGGUUGCACGCCGCAACAGUAUUUUUAUGAUUUGGAUCGGGUUGCGCGCCGCAACAAUAAAUGAUAAAAGUGGUUAUUGAUUUGUUACGGUUUUCCUUAUUCUUUCUACUGCGAAUUUUAAAUUGUUCUUUAUGCCUUUCUCCUGAGUUACUGUUGGUAAAUGAUAUUCCCCCGCAGCAUGUCCCCCUCCCAUCCUUAAUUGUACAUUUCUGUCUUUAUUUUCCGCUGUAUAUGAUAUAACUGCAUAGUUUUAUUUGGUAGUCUAGUCCUAGCUUAGUCACUACUUUGUCGGGGUUAGGCUAGGCACUUACCAGCACAUGGGGUCGAUUGUGCUGAUACUACACUCUGCACUGUGUGUAGAUCCCAGAGCAGCAGCUUUUGGACCUUAGCUUGGGUGGCUGCCUUCAGUCCUUACGGAGAUCCAAGGUAGUCUUGCAGGUGUCAGCAGGCCCUGGUGUCUCCCUCUAUCUUUUCUUCCUGUUUCACUCAUGUAAUUCAGAAACAAUGUUGUAUUUAUUUUUCAGACCUUGUUUGUAGAAUUCUUAGACCGUCUGUGGAGUUGUGACACCAGUCUUGAGUAAUUUUUGCUUAAGAAAUCAUGUUGGAAUUAUUUAAAUUGUUUAAUUGUUUUCUUCCGCUUGUCUUAAAUUUUUGCUGUUUAUAACUAUUGAUUCACAUUCGUUAAAGAAUUAAAGUGGGAUAAAGUAAUUUGUUCAAAUGGUGAGCUUGCCUAGCUUUCACUAGUAGGCGCCAUCAUGACUCCCGAGGGUGGAAAAUCCGAGUCGUGACAACUUGUUAUCCGUACCUCUUUCAUAUUCUCUGUUGUUAUCUUCGAUUUAGUUUUCUAAUUAUUUUUCUUCUAUUACUUGCUAUCAGGGCUUCUUUCAUCUUCUUUAGCCGAGAGUCUAUCAGAAACAAUCUCUCUGCCCUUCCAGGGUAUGGGUAAGGCUGCGUACAUCCUACCCUUCCCAGACCCCAUUUGUGGGAUUAUACUGGGUGGUUGUUGUUAUCGUUGUUAACGUCACUAAUUACUUGUAUUAAAUUAGUCCACAUAUCCUUAAAACUGCGUAUAAAUUCAAUUGUUAUCCAUUUUUAAGGGCAAACAGUUUGGCGCCCACUGUGGGGCUAAGGAUAAUAGUGGUAGUUUGAUACAAAUUUCCAUAACACACUAUAUUUUACGCUUGUUCUUUUAGAUUUUAAUUUCAGGUCUACCUAAGAAUGUCAAACUCUCAGUCUGCUCACUUGAACAUUGAUACUGAAUCUGGCCAUAAUGGCGAAAACAACAAUAUAGUACCUGGCAACGAGGUGUCCCCUACAGAUCCUAAUGGAGUCCUAGUUGCAGAAUCAAUCGAUGCCAACCUGCCGAUCGACCCUGAGAACAGCAUUCGCGGAGGAGCCCGACCAACGACUCGAGGUAUGCCCGAAGGUGAAGGCGACGGGAUCAAUCUGCGAGUGAUCAUUGAAAUUUUAUAGGCCCAACAAGUGGCGAUAGCACAACUACAAAAUCAAAGCCGCACCCCAACAGAGUUGAGCCCGAACCAUCCGGGAAAACACCCGAAGAAAUGAGCAAGUCAUAGAAAGGCCGGGUGAAGCUGAGCUCGAGACCAAUCCUGAAAUAAUAAAAAUGCUUGAGGAACUGACAAAGUGGGUAGAAUCAGGGGAGAAAAAAAUGAAGCUAACGACAAAAAAUUAGAGACCUAUAAUUCCGGGGUUGAUCAAAUCCCAGGAGCGCCCCAUAUUGAAAGGCCUGGAAUCCAAGAAAUUUUCCAAAAGCCUUUCCCUUCGAUUGCGGCACCGAAGCCAAUCCCGAAGAAGUUUCGUAUGCCCGAUAUUCCGAAGUAUAACGGGACCAUGGAUCCAAAUGAGCACGUGAUCUCCUACACGUGUACCAUCAAGGAAAAUGACUUGUAAGAUGACGAGAUGAAGUUGGUUUUGUUAAAAAAGUUCGGAGAAACACUAUCAAAAGGAGUAAUGAUAUGAUGUCACAACUUACCCCCAAAUUCUAUUAAUUCGUUUGCUAUGCUUGUAGAUGCCUUUGUGAAAGUGCAUGCCGGGGCCAUCCAGGUUGAGACCAGAAAAUCAAACCUUUACAAAGUAAAAUAAAGAGAUAACAAAAUGCUUAGGGAAUUCGUAUCGAGGUUUCAAAUGGAACAAAUGGACCUUUCUCCGGCUGCGGAUGAUUGGGCCAUUCAAGUGUUUACUCAAGGACUCAUCCCCUAAAGCUCCUUGGCUUCACAAUAUUUGAAAUAGAAUUUGAUCGAGUACCCGGCGGUAACAUGGGCCGAAGUCCAUAACAGGUACCAGUCAAAAUUCAGAGUCGAGGACGAUCAACUUGCGGACCCCUCCAGAUCCAUUUAUCCCGUCAGAACUAAUAACAUGCCUAAGAGAGCCGUCGAUCAUGAACAAAGACUGAACAAAUACCGGUAUCAACCGUAUAGCAGAGAUCGAAGGGGUAAGGAUCUGGGCGUAACCUUGUGAGAAAUGAAAGGAGGAUCGAUCGAUGCCACAAUAGUCGGGGACUCAUGAACAAAAAUAGUUUCGACAGGCCACUCGGGGCCAGAGAGGAACUUAGGUUAUCGGAUUAUAACUUCAAUCUCGAUGUUAGCAGCAUCGUAUCUGCCAUCAGGCACAUUAAAGAUACCAAGUGGCUUUGACCAUUGUAGUCCGACCCUAACCUGAUGUGUAAGUAUCAUGGCACUCAUGGCCACAUGACUGAGUACUGCUGAUGAUUAAGAUAAGAAGUGGCCCGACUAUUCAAUAACGUGCAUCUCCUGUAAUUUCUGAGUGAUCAAAAGUCACUUCAGGAACAAGGACUUCAACAAACAGACCGUGCAAGAAGAAAAAAUGUAUAUCGCAUGGAAAAAAUGAACCUGAUAUUAUAUCAGGGAGGGAACCAUUUCGUUCAAUGAUGAGGACGCUGAAGGCAUCGUAUAACCGCAUAAUAAUGCACUGGUAAUAUCUGUACUUAUAAAUAAAUCUCGAGUUAAGCGUGUGUUGAUUAAUCCAGUUAGCUCAGGCAACAUCAUCAGAUCGAGGGUCGUGGAGCAGUUGGGUCUACAAGACCAAAUAGUGCCAGUAGUCCGGGUUUUAAACGGAUUCAACAUGGCAUGAGAAACUACCAAAGGAGAAAUAACCUUGCCAGUAAAUACUGCCGGGAAAAUUCAGGAUACCAAAUUCUACGUGGUCGAGGGGGACAUGAGGUAUAAUGCCUUAUUCAUAAGGCUUUGGGUUCACAACAUGAGGGAAGUACCCUCGACACAACACCAGGCACUAAAGUUCCCCACUGGGAGGUAUCAAGAAAAUUUAUGAAGAGCAGCCGGCCGAAAAAGAAAUGUUCGCAGUCGUUGAAGUGAUCCCGAUGUCCUCACUCUCGACAUCAAAGUACACGGAGCUAGUUAAGAAGGAAGAAAGUAAAUGGCAAUCACCGAUAUUGGCCUCGACCAAACAGGAGAAGCAAGGAGCAGGCGAGGAUGAUGGCUACGGAGUCCCUAGGUCGUUUAUCACGUGAUGAUUCUGAUGCCACCACGUCGACAGUUGAGGAGCUGGAGCAAGUCAUAUUAAUUGAACACUUUCCCAAUCGGAAGGUAUACCUGGGCACGGGCUAACUCCCGAGCUUUGAAAAAAACUCAUUCAAUUCCUUAUGACUAACAUAGACUGUUUCUCUUGGUCCUAUCUAGAUAUGAUAGGGAUCCCGCCAGAGAUAACCACUCAUAAGUUGAGCUUGGAUACGAAGUUCCACUCGGUUUAACAGAAGAGAAGAUCGCAGUCCAAAUUCAAGCAUACAUUCAUCAAAGACGAGAUAUCUAAACUCCUUAAAAUAGGUUCCAUUCGGGAAGUUAAGCACCCGGAUUGGUUAGCUAAUGUAGUGGUAGUGCCUAAAAAGGGAAAUAAAUUAAGAAUGUGCAUAGAUUAUAAAGACUUGAACAAGGCGUGCCCUAAGGACUCUUUUCCUUUUCCUAACAUCGAUCACAUAAUUGAUGUGAUGGCUAGGCACGAGAUACUCAGCUUCCUCGACGCCUAUUCCGGGUACAACCAGAUCCGGAUGGACCCGGGCGAUCAAGAGAAAACUUCCUUUAUCACUAAAGUCGGUACCUAUCGUUAUAACAUAAUGCCGUUCGGACUAAAGAACACCUGCGCCAUUUAUCAACGCCUAGUAAACUGGAUGUUCGAAGAACAAAUAGAUAAAUAAAUGGAAGUUUAUAUUGAAGACUUGUAAGUUAAGUUCCUACAAGCAGAAGACCAUUUGAAACACUUGCAUGAAACCUUUGACAUAUUGAAGAGAUACAAUAUGAAGUUGAACCCGGAAAAAUGUGCAUUCAGGGUCGUGUCUGAAAAAUUCCUUGGAUUCAUGGUGUCCAACCGAGGGAUUGAGAUCAAUCCCAAUACAACCAAACCUAUAAAAGAAAUCACCAUGGUGGGCAGUGUCAAGGCCAUUCAGAGGCUAACCGGGCGCAUAACCACCCCGGGCUGGUUCAUAUCAAGAUCCUUAGGUAAAAGUCAUUGGUUCUUCUCGCUAUUGAAGAAGAAGAAUAACUUUUUUUGGACUCCGGAAUGCAACAAGCUUUGGAAGAGCUUAAACGGUUCCUUUCGAGUCUACCCCUGCUCCAUACUCUGAAGGCGGAUGAGCAGUUGUACCUUUACUUGGAAGUAUCUGAGGUGGCGGUAAGCGGGGUCUUAGUCCGAGAAGAGGAAGGUACGUGAUUUCCUACUUACUAUGUUAGUAGAACUCUAGGCGAGGCCGAAACGAGGUAUCCUCACCUGGAAAAACUAGCGCUCGCUUUGCUAAGCACCUCCAGAAAGUUGAAACUAUACUUUCAAUACCACCCCAUAUGUGUCGUAACCUCUUACCCGCUAAGGAAUAUUAUACACAAACCGAGCUCUCGAGUAGGUUUUCUACAUGGGUCGUAGAAAUUAGUGAGUAUGAUAUCGAAUAUCGACCUCGAACCGCCAUCAAAUCACAAAUCUUGGCAGACUUCGUGGCCGACUUUACCCCGAACUUACUAUCCGAAGUUGAAAAGGAACUGUUGUUAACCUCGAGGUCUUCCUUGGGAAUCUAGACCCUCUUUAUGGAUGAUGCUUCGAACGCAAAUGGGUCUGGACUCGGCAUCGUGUUGAAGCCGCAUAUGGGAAACGUAGUUAGGCAGUAUAUUAGAACUGUGAAAUUGACUAAGAAUAAGGCCGAGUAUGAGGCCAUGAUUGCAGGUCUCGAAUUGGCUAAAAGCCUUGGGGUCGAGGUGGUCCAAGCUAAGUGCGAUUCUCUCCUUGUGGUACAUUCAAAGUAAAAAAGGAACAAAUGCGAAGGUGUUUAGAAAAAUUGUAGGUAAUGCUGCAUCAAUUCAAGGAAUGGACCUUAUAGUACGUGCCUCGAGAUCAAAAUAGCAAGGCCAAUGCUCUAGCUAACUUGGGGUCAUCGGUUGAUGACAAUGAAUUUAGCUCAGGAACAGUCGUACAAGUCAUGAAGUCAGUAGUGGAAGAAGGCCAUGCCGAAAUAAACUCAACAAGUUUAACUUGGGAUUGCAAAAACAAGUAUAUAGACUAUUUGAAAACUAGGAAGUUGCCCUCGGAUCCUAAAGAAUCAGAGCUCUACGCAGAAGGAGGCCAGAUUCAGCCUAUCCGAAGGGAUUUUGUUCAGAAGAACAUUCGACGGCCUGCUCGCCAUAUGCUUGGGGCUGGGAGAUACCGAAUAUGUAUUGAGAGAAGUUCACAAAGGCACCUCUAAAAACCAUUCGGGGGCAGAAUCUUUGGUUUGGAAGAUAAUCAGGGCCGACUAUUACUGGAUCGAUAUGGAAAAAGAUGCAAAGGACUUUGUACGAAGAUGUGACGGCUGUCAAAGGCACGCACUGAUGAUCCAUCAACCCGGAUAACUACUCCAUUCGGUCUCAUCCCCAUGGCCAUUCAUGAAAUUGGGAAUGGACAUCAUCGGUCCCAUGCCGUGGGCACCUGGUAAGGCUCAAUUCAUACUGUUUAUAACCGAUUAUUUUUCUAAAUGGGUCGAAGCUCAAAUGUUCAAUAAAGUUUGAGAAAAAGAAGUCACUGACUUUAUUUGGGACCACAUAAUAUUCUAGUUUGUGAUACCGGCCGAGAUCGUAUGUGAUAACAGGAAUCAAUUCAUCGGCAGCAAGGUAAAGAAGUUUUUUGAAGACCACAAGAUUAAAAAUAUACUAUCCAUACCCUAUCACCGUAGUGGGAAUGGACAAGCAAAAUCUACCAACAAGACCAUACUCCAAAACUUGAAAAAUAGGUUGACCGAUGCCAAAGGGAAGUGGAAGGAAAUUUUUUCCAAAGUCUUAUAUGCGUACCAUAAAACUUCGAAAUCUAGUAUUGGGGCCACCCUGGUUUCAUUGGUCUACUGUACCGAAGCACUAAUAUCGGUCGAAGUGGGAGAAUCAAGCCUCAGGUUCUGACGUGCGACCGAAGAAUCAAACGGUGAGGCCAUGAGCACGAGCUUGGAACUAUUAGAUGAAAGGAGCGAGGCUGUCCUAUUUCGGUUGGCUGCCAAAAUCAGCGGAUAGAAAGGUAUUACAACCGAAGAGCCAACUCAAAAUCUAGUAUUGGAGCCUAAUCUCGAUAUUUUAAAUAAUUGUGAAUCUUUUACUUUAUUUCGUCACAAAAAGUGAAUAUUACAAAAAUAUUUUAGUUUACGUAUCUUUCAUAAAUUUAAAUAAAAAAUAUACAAAAAUAGUACCUUAUUUUUAUUUUUAUACAUAAUCUUGAAAACAUAAAAAUAGUUUCAUAGUGUAGUUCACUUAAUUAAGAUUAGUUUUAUAUUUUUAUAUUAUAAUUGUAUAUAAUUUUAGAAGGAGGAAUUAGUUUUGGGUUGAUUUAUCCCGUCUUUAUGAAUCUUGCAGUCCAUUUUUUUUGUCUUUGGCCCAAUUCCCAAGCCCAUAAUUCCUAAGGCUAAAAAUAAGCCGCAAUACACUCUAUGGGGAUCAGCUAAAAGAAUAAAAAAUUGAGGAGCUAAUUUCCUAAGAAAAAAGGCUGACCUAACGCCUAAAAAGGCUGCAGCGCCGCAAUUCUCAAAAAGAACCCCCCGUUCAUUUCAAUCAGCAAUCAACGUUCUUCUUCACCAAAAUCACGAAGCAACAACCAUUUUUGUAAGCUUAGACCCAUCAACAAGCAACCAAGUGAACUAAUGACACAGUUUCUUCUUCACAAAACCGGUGAAAAACCCCUUUUCUUCAGAACACAGCUGCAACAGCCAUAAACACGAUCUCGUUCCUUGUCUUCCUCACCCCAUUUCAUCGUUAGCAGUUCAGCGACAGCCAUGGCUGAGCAACUCCGGCGAAUCACCAAAUAAUAAUCAACAAUCGAACUCCGGCGUAAAACAACCCUUGUGAUGUCCAAAGUUGUCGUCCAAGCUCACUCAAGUUGAAUCCGACGAGAAAUCUGGCGAGUUUCGAGGUUUGGUCGUAGUUCCAUCGAGGGUUAGUAAAUUUUUCGGUCGAGGUCAGUGUCGAGUCUCAGAUUCAUGUAAAGUUUCAUUUUUGGCCUCACCCUUGACUGAUAUAGAACUUCUGAAUUUUAUAAUGCAUGUAGAAAGAAGUAUUGUUGUUAAUGAACAUUUGUAUAUAUGUGUUUGACAAAUUUGAGUUGAUCUGCUUCAUUUUCAUGUAUGUUGGUUUCAUAAUAACGUAUAUCAUCAGUAGUAUGUUUGUUUAAUGGGAGUUUAAGAAUGAUGGAAUGUGAAUAAGUAAAGUAGAUGUAUUGAAUUGGAAAUGCAAAGUUUGAUAGGAAUAGUUUGGUUGUUUCUGUGAAUCGAUUUUCGUUGUGUG
rnacentral:lncRNA from 1 species